rnacentral:piRNA from 1 species
UACUGAGAGAGUUCCAGGACAGC